GACAGAGGGUGCAAACGUUGUUCGGAAUUACUGGGCGUAAAGCGUGUGUAGGCGGCUCUGCAAGUCGGAUGUGAAAGCCCUGGGCUCAACCCAGGAAGUGCACUCGAUACUGCAGAGCUUGAGUAUCGGAGAGGUUGGUGGAAUUCCCGGUGUAGAGGUGAAAUUCGUAGAUAUCGGGAGGAACACCGGUGGCGAAGGCGGCGACCUGGGUCGAUACUGACGCUGAGGUGCGAAAGCGUGGGGAGCAAACAGG
rnacentral:rRNA from 1 species